rnacentral:lncRNA from 1 species
AAUAUCCUCAAAUUCAUCGUCUCGACAUCAAAAUGCAUGUACAUGAGAAAAAACUGGAUUUUAAAUAUUGGAAAUAAGACAUCUUGUAAUGCAUUUUUGGAUAAUUAGUUUUCAAGAUUUUUUAGUUUUCAUAUAUUUGCUCGAUCUAUACUAUUCUUGAAGGUUUUAAUUUUAUAAUUAAAGAUGAAAAUAUAUUUUAUGUCUAUCGCAAAAAUUUCCAGUAUUGAAAUCACAUUUCUCGAUACUAUUUGAAAGUCCGCUUCACUUUGAUUUAGAGAAUAGGGUGAUCCCGUGAUUUAUACUUUUUAUUAUUUCUAUCUUUUAUCUUUUUUUAAUUUUUAUUGAUUGAUUCUCAUCCAAAGAAUUAGUCGGAUCGUCGAUUCAAAUCAGUAUUUUGCCGAUUGAGCCUCGUUUUCUAGAUGGUCAGGUUACUUGGCAAAUAAAGUUUUAAAACACGGCCUUUUUAUUUUAUCCUAUUUUUUUUAUAAAACCUCGCAAUAUAAAAACCGUAUCCGUGACAAAAAAUCUAUAAAAUGUCCC